ensembl:lncRNA
CAAUCCCAUCUCUGGGGGCCUGCCCAACAACCUCGGAGAGCAGCAAAACUGCAAACUUCAGACGGGCCUGGACAUGUACUGGCUUAAGCAGUGGGACACGUCUGGCACUGCAGGAUUUGAGUCCCUGGCGGCGUAGUGUGUUACUGAUGGUGCCAUUAAUACAGGUAAUGAGUGGAGGACAGAGGAGCCUCUUAAAGAAGAAGUUACAGGUCUGUGAGAGCCAGAAAUCUUGCUUGUUUGUUGGUGACCAAAUACUUUUUUUCAACCAUAAUUUGCAAAUAAAUUCAUUAAAAAUCCUACAAUGUGAUUUUCCUGAUUUAGUUUUUCAUUUUGUCUGUCAUAGUUGAAGUGUACCUAUGAUGACAAUUACAGGCCUCUCAUCUUUUUAUGUGGGAGAACUUGCACAAUUGGUGGCUGACUAAAUACUUUUUUGCCCCACUGUAUGUCGCAAGAUAAUUUGCCCUUAUUAAACUCUCCUGAUCAUUUUCCAUCAAUGGAUGUUGACUUAACCUUUUUUGACUGC